UAAGAAGCUGGUGCUUCAUGAGCAAGGUGU
rnacentral:piRNA from 1 species